rnacentral:rRNA from 1 species
AUACGUAGGGAACGAGCGUUGUCCGGAAUUACUGGGCGUAAAGGGAGCGUAGGCGGGAUGGCAAGUCAGAUGUGAAAACUAUGGGCUCAACCCAUAGACUGCAUUUGAAACUGUUGUUCUUGAGUGAAGUAGAGGUAAGCGGAAUUCCUGGUGUAGCGGUGAAAUGCGUAGAUAUCAGGAGGAACAUCGGUGGCGAAGGCGGCUUACUGGGCGUUUACUGACGCGGAGGCUCCAAAGCGUGGGGAGCAAACAGGAUUAGAUACCCGGGUAGUCCACGCUGUAAAGGAUGAUUACUAGGUGUGGGGGGACUGACCCCUUCCGUGCCGCAGUUAACACAAUAAGUAAUCCGCCUGGGGAGUACGGCCGCAAGGUUGAAACUCAAAGGAAUUGGCGGGG